rnacentral:rRNA from 1 species
AUACGGAGGGUGCAAGCGUUGUUCGGAAUUACUGGGCGUAAAGCGCGCGUAGGUGGUCUGUUAUGUCAGAUGUGAAAGUCCACGGCUCAACCGUGGAAGUGCAUUUGAAACUGGCAGACUUGAGUACUGGAGGGGGUAGUGGAAUUCCCGGUGUAGAGGUGAAAUUCGUAGAUAUCCGGAGGAAUACCGGUGGCGAAGGCGACUACCUGGCCAGAUACUGACACUGAGGUGCGAAAGCGUGGGGAGCGAACAGGAUUAGAAACCCGGGUAGUCC